rnacentral:piRNA from 1 species
UGAAUUCAGUCAUUUCUAUUUCAAGUGUCA